AACGUAGGACACAAGCGUUAUCCGGAGUUAUUGGGCGUAAAGAGCUCGUAGGCGGUUUGUCGCGUCUGCUGUGAAAACUGGAGGCUCAACCUCCAGCCUGCAGUGGGUACGGGCAGACUAGAGUGCGGUAGGGGAGAUUGGAAUUCCGUGGUGUAGCGGUGGAAUGCGCAGAUAUCAGGAGGAACACCGAUGGCGAAGGCAGAGUCUCUGG
rnacentral:rRNA from 1 species